rnacentral:tRNA from 1 species
GGGCUCGUAGCUCAGUUAGGCAGAGCACCUGGCUUUUAACCAGGUGGUCAGGGGUUCAAUUCCCCUCGAGCCCGCCA